AAUUUUGGGCAAUGGGCGAAAGCCUGACAGAGCAAUUCCGCGGAGGGAAUGAGAACGCUCAAAGGGUUGUAAUCCUUCUGUAGUAAGGAAGAAAUUUCGGUGUUACCUAUAGAUUCAACGUAAGCCAAGUCUGUGUCAGCACCCGCAGUAAUGGUGAUGCGGCAAGUGCUAUCGGGAAUCAGUGGUAGUAAGGCUUAAGUAGGCGCUGUAGGUAGUGCAAUAUAGAAUCGAGAAGUUAAGGCUCAACCCUGUAAUAGCAUCUAAUAAACUUGGGGAUGGUUGCGGUAAAGGGAAUUUCCAGUGGAGCGGUGAAAUGUGUAGAGAUAGAUGGACCAGGAGCACCAAGGCGAUUUCGUGGGAUAUUUCUGGAAUAAGAGUCAAAGCUAGGGGAGCAAAAGGGAUUAGAUACCCCUGUAGUCCCAGCCC
rnacentral:rRNA from 1 species